CAGCUCGUGUCGUGAGAUGUUCGGUUAAGUCCGCUAACGAGCGCAACCCUCGCUGUGUGUUAUAUGUGUCGACACGGGACUGCCGGUCUUAAGCCGGAGGAAGGUGGGAUGAUGUCAAGUCAGCAUGGCCUUUAUAUCCUGGGCUACACACACGCUACAAUGGCCAACACAAUAGGUUGCUAAGCCGCGAGGUGGCGCCAAUCCAUAAAGUUGGUCUCAGUUCAGAUUGUAGGCUGCAACCCGCCUGCAUGAAGAUGGAGUUGCUAGUAACCGCAGGUCAGCUAUACUGCGGUGAAUACGUUCCCGGGGCCUU
rnacentral:rRNA from 1 species